rnacentral:lncRNA from 1 species
CUCAGUGAAAAGUUGCCCCCGAGGAAGAAGCCAAGCUGAAGGGGCGUGGCCGCUUCAUAGCUCCAGGAUGAUCUUGCUCGACAAGGUUUAUUGCGCUGAAGUUUACUGUUGCUGCGUUCCAUCUCCCAAAAGGAGCCAUCCGAGGAUAUCGCGUGGUGUGCGACCGAAGAAGAAUCGCAGCUACGUUUGGGCUGCUAAACUGGAACUAGGCGCGAUUCUCCCAAACGAUAACAGGUUCUUGGUGAACUCCAUUAACUCCUUUACCUUAAGUUAUGCCAUAAAACAACACAAUGAAGAAUCAUAAGAAAAGCUACACCGUGAAUGAAGUAUCCAAGCAUGAACUUCCAAGUAGUGCUUAUGACAACCCUGCUUUCCAGCCAGAUGAAACAGCAGCACAAAAUGAUCACUUAAAGAAGAGCAA